rnacentral:misc_RNA from 1 species
AAGUCGUAACAAGGUUUCCGUAGGUGAACCUGCGGAAGGAUCAUUACCGAGUGGCGCGAAAUUCCUGUCGUGAGACGGGGAAGCUACCCGACCUUUUGUCAUUUUGUCAAGUCUGGCUGGCGGGAUUGCAUUCGUGAGAAAGCGAAUGUGGAUUUCGGCAGACGGACCAAAACUUCGGCGGAAGAGGUAGGCGUGGACCUGCCCGCCGCCGGCCGUAUAAGACAAUACACAUUCUUGAGAGCAAACUGAAGUCUAAGACGAUCCUUGAAAAAGGAGUACCAAAAAAAAAGCAAAACUUUCAACAACGGAUCUCUUGGCUCUG